GCAAGACUGCAGCAGUGUCUGCAAGGGGGUGAAGAGGAAAAGCCAGAGACUGAAGUACUGCAGGGUUUGGGGUGAUGCUGGCUCUGGGACGGCUGCAGGCAGGGAGGCAUAUCACUUCCUAUGCAGGUACCUCACUCCCUAUGCAGGUACAUCACUCCCUGUGCAGGUACCUCACUCCCUGUGCAGGUACAUCACUCCCUGUGCAGGUACCUCACUCCCUGCGCAGGUACCUCACUCCCUGUGCAGGUACAUCACUCCCUGUGCAGGUACCUCACUCCCUGUGCAGGUACAUCACUCCCUGUGCAGGUAC